ACACAUGCAAGUCGAACGGAGCUGAGAGGAGCUUGCUUUUCUUAGCUUAGUGGCGAACGGGUGAGUAACGCGUGAGUAACCUGCCCUGGAGUGGGGGACAACAGUUGGAAACGACUGCUAAUACCGCAUAAGCCCACGAUCCGGCAUCGGAUUGAGGGAAAAGGAUUUAUUCGCUUCAGGAUGGACUCGCGUCCAAUUAGCUAGUUGGUGAGGUAACGGCCCACCAAGGCGACGAUUGGUAGCCGGACUGAGAGGUUGAACGGCCACAUUGGGACUGAGACACGGCCCAGACUCCUACGGGAGGCAGCAGUGGGGGAUAUUGCACAAUGGGGGAAACCCUGAUGCAGCGACGCCGCGUGGAGGAAGAAGGUUUUCGGAUUGUAAACUCCUGUCGUUAGGGACGAUAAUGACGGUACUCAACAAGGAAGUGACGGCUAACUACGUGCCAGCAGCCGCGGUAAAACGUAGGUCACAAGCGUUGUCCGGAAUUACUGGGUGUAAAGGGAGCGCAGGCGGGAAGACAAGUUGGAAGUGAAAUCUAUGGGCUCAACCCAUAAACUGCUUUCAAAACUGUUUUUCUUGAGUAGUGCAGAGGUAGGCGGAAUUCCCGGUGUAGCGGUGGAAUGCGUAGAUAUCGGGAGGAACACCAGUGGCGAAGGCGGCCUACUGGGCACCAACUGACGCUGAGGCUCGAAAGUGUGGGUAGCAAACAGGAUUAGAUACCCUGGUAGUCCACACCGUAAACGAUGAUUACUAGGUGUUGGAGGAUUGACCCCUUCAGUGCCGCAGUUAACACAAUAAGUAAUCCACCUGGGGAGUACGACCGCAAGGUUGAAACUCAAAGGAAUUGACGGGGG
rnacentral:rRNA from 1 species